CACAACCCUGGGAUCAUGACCUGAGCUGGAAUCAAGAGUCAAAUGCUUAACCGACUGAGCCACCCAGGCGCCCCUGGAGUCUGUAUUUUUUAAAGAAGCAACAGUGGUAAUUCUGAUGAUUCUCCCAAGAUUUGGAACCAGACCAUGCCCCAUUUUGCUGUCACUCUCCCCCAGCAAACACGUUCCCUAGAUAGGAAUCCUCUGAAAGGUGGUCUAUGAGCUCAUGAGUAUCAAGGGAGAACUUUCUUCUAUCGCUUUGGGUCCUCAAGUACCCAAUUUCCUUUAUUAUUGAGCUUCAUAACAUUAAGCUGAAACUGUCCCUGUAACUCACUGAUCAGUGACAGGCCCCAGUGGCCAUCCCAGGCUACACAGAGCUGGCUGGCAUCUGCUUUCAGCUGAUGGUCCUUUAGAGAUAGCAAGCCCAUAAUGCUCAGGCAUUUGUGGAUUUCAGACCCGCCACCAUCAUGUUACAUGGCCUUAUGGUGUGGCAGCCACGUCUGGGCAAAGCAUCAGAUGCGGUGGUAGCAGUGCUGAAUUCAGUGCUCCCUUGUUAGGGACACUCCACUUCUCUUCCUGUACCAUCGGUCCAUAUGGAACUCGCUCCAGCCACCUGCUUCAGGGAAAGCAACACUAAGUCGCACAAUGCUGUCACUCCAGGACAGUAAGAGUGCCCGCUGAAUCUUCUUGCUGCACACGGCACGGCUGGGCCAGCACUUGGAACACCUGCUGUGUGUAGGGAGGCGAGGCGCACUUGGGUCCUCAUCCCACCUUCCCACCUACCGACUGGGCAGCCUUCUGCAACUGCCAUUUAUCCUUCUGCAACUGUCAUUUAUCCUUCUAAACCAGGUUCCUGAUCCGAGAACAGGUGGAGGAUGACUGGCAGCAUUGUUUGAGGACUGAAUAAGCUAAUAUGUACCUUGGCAAGCCCUCAAUAAAUGGUAGCCAGUUACUAUGAGUUCCUGUUAUCAGUGACCAUAGACCAUGUUUGUGUCCCCCCCCAAAACUCAUUCUUGAAAUCUUAUCCCCAAGUGCAAUGGUAUUAGGAGGUGGAGCCUUUGGAGGGUGAAUAGCUCCGCCCUCACGAAUGGGAUUAAUGACUCCAGAGGGCUCCUUUGCCCCACUGUCAUGUGAGAACACUACAGAUGAAUGCCAAAGCAGAAAGUGGGCUCUCACCAGACACUGAAUCUGCCAGCACCUUGAUCUUGGACUUCCUAGCCUCCAGAACUGUGAGAAAAAUGCGUUUGUAAACCACCCAGUCUUAAGGAUGCUGUUAUCGCAGCCGGAACCGACCAAGACCGUAACUGAUGAAGGUCAUCCUGUCCUGAGAAGGUGAAGGGCAGAGCCUGACCUUAAUACGGUGUUGAGCUCUGGACCAGGUGGAAGCAAUUCUGUCUCUCCCCAAUCCUGAGACUGUGUAAUGUGUUGCUAGCAGCUCUUUGACUAUGUCACUGCUUUGCAGUCUCCAAAGUGCUUUCAACAUCGGAACUUAGGGCACCAUUCGAAUAGCUACUCUUCAUCCCAUUUCACAAAUGAGGAAACAGGCUCCAGGAGCGUAUGACUUAUGAAGGUUUUCUGGCUCUCAAUCUGAUAGUGUGCCCUCCACCCCACAAGGCUGUUGGAGUUCUUUUAAUUUGCUUUGUAAGUCAGUCAUGCAUUUACUCAUCUUAGCCCUAUGAGGCCCUGCUAACUUCCUAGAAGCAGACAAAUGAUGCAGUCGGCUCCUUUCUGGGGCCUCCAGAGGGUUCUGCAAAUAGCACAUGCUCGAAAGAUGUUUUGCAGUUACCAAAACUGCAAAGUUGAGACAAUCCUGCUUGAGUCCCAUGUGCUCGUUGUCUCUGGGGGGGGACCCAGGAAAGGUAGGGACUAGGGUGCGGCCGGUCCCAUUGGGGACCAGUUAGACCAGAUGAGGGCAGUGAGGACGGCUGUGGGGAAGAUGGCUCGGAGGAGGCAGGAAGGUACAGGUACUAGUCUCCCGCCAAGGCCCUGGUUCGGUGCCUGCCUGGGCAGAGUGAGCAGAGCAGAGCAGGGGCCUGUGUCUCUGAGAACAUAACACCCCGGGUGCCGAGCACUGCUUCCAGGAGGCUGGGUGUCCGGGGCACUCCCCACAGCACCCCUCUUCAGGCUCUGCAGGGCCUGGUGUCUGGUCUGAGGCAGCCCUCCCUGCUGCAAAGAUGGGAGAAAGGGGGUGGCAGGCAGAGUAUGAGCGGGGGCUUUUGUGUGUUUGGGCCUGGGGAAGCAGAGCUAAAAUUAGGUCUUCCAGCUGUGUGCAGGUGUGGAAUCCCGCCCUUUCCCCUCCCCCGAACCAGGAUCUUGGAAUGAUUUCCAUUUCCUCCCUCCCUCCCCGCUCAGUCCUGGUUCCUCCGCAGGCAUGAGUUGAACUGUCCCGCCUCUCUGGUCAUGGGCCUUUCCACCCAAAUGAUCUCUAAGGCUAUGAGCGGAGAGAGGGGAAGGGGCAGGCAGUGGCUUUGACUUUGCUGAGCUUCCCCACCUCCUCCGAGGCCAGGGCACAGCUGGGGCCCAAGGCCACCAGGCAGAACAAAUGUUUUCCUUUCCUACCACCACCUACACCGGGCCCCUGACUUCUCCCACCGGCCUCCCGCUUCAUGUGCUUUGUGCCCCCAUCUCUCUGCCCCUCUCUGCCCAUCACUUCAGAAGGAGCCUUUAAUCCCUUGCCAUCCACUGCCGUCCAUCCAGGCGGCGGGCUCCAGGGCAGUGUGCCGGAGGCAAUGUACAUGAGGCAUGGCGCUCCUCCGGAUGACUGUCCCUCUCACUCCCCCUUCACCGUGGCCCUGGAUCCCUGCCUCACAGGACUGCAGGCUAAGGCUUAGACCCUUCUGCGCUCUGGUCUAGGGUCAGAGCCUGACUCUGGCUCCUAUGUGUGCUUGCAGUAGGGUUUUAGGUGAGCGGCAUCUCCUCCCUAGAUGGUCUCCGGGGUCCCUCCCUGUUUGGUGUCUGAACUGUCCAGGGUGGAGUACUCCUUCAAGAAAGGCAGCCUGCAGCGGCAGCUUGUGGGAGGCAUGCUGACGGAGGCUGGAGGCUGGAGGCUGCGGCGGAUAAGUGCACUGAGGGGCCUCUGAGGAGGUGUGAAUGAGGGAGGCAGAGCAGGCCGGUGAGGACAGCCCUGUCCCAGCCCUAUCUCCCGUCCCCGACACCCUCUCCACACCCCGGCCCUGAUAAGCAGGUGUGAGCCACGGCAGCCUUGUGACAGGCCCUUCAGCAGGGAGGGGAUGGCGGGGUCCACUCCACUUCUGAAUUCAGACGUCAGCAUCUCAUUCCCCCCCCCCCCCCCACCAUUUCCCUGCCGGACCGGACAGGCCCAACUCCUGAGCGUCCUCCUGACGCUCGGCCCCCUUUGGGCUUUGUGACUCUGUCCCUGCCCGUGAGGCCUCAGCCUCCUCAGGGUGGUAGGGGACAGACCUCCCUCUAUCUUGUGGCUAAGUGCCGAGGAGGAUGGCCACCCCCAGCCAAGCCUGCUCCUGCAGUGACCGUGGUGCUGAGGCCUGGCAACCCCCGUUUACCACGGGGCACGCCUCAAGGCUACUCCUCCCGUGUCUUCUCGUCCCGUCUCCUCCAGUCCCUGUGGCCAUCAGCUUUCAGUCGUGCUCCCUCCACCUUGGCUUUGGGGUCACUGCUCCGUCUGGCUCCAGCCAAUGUUCAGAAGGCCAAGGCCAGAAACCCCUAAUUUCUGCAUUGGUGGGCAUCGGGGCUGGGGGAGCAGGGAAGGCUAGGGGAAGAGGCGCAGGGCUUGGGGCUCUGGGAAAGGGGACGGAAAGGCAAAUAGGACUGAGGAGGGGCCACAGAAAGUCCAGGGCACUCCCUGGACCCCCGAGGAGGGUCUUUGUGCCCCAAACCCAAGGUGCUAAACUGCCUUCUACUUUCUCAAAGGCUCUCUUCUGAGUUCACACCUGAAGAUUAUUUUGAUUCUCAGGUUGUAACCAUCUGUGCUAGGCAGCCCGUGUGUGUGUGUGUGUGUGUGUGUGUGUGUGUGAGUGUGUAAAGGGUGCUUGUUCUCUAACACUGGCUGAGAGCACAGACUCUGGAGCCAGGCGGAUUGGCCUGGUGUAGGAUCCCUGCUCUGCUGUCUUACCAGGUAGGGAGCUUGGGCAAACUGCAUAGCACGCCUGGUAGGACUCUAAGUAUCGAGUUGAUCCACAUAAAGCACUUGAACAGUGCCCAGGGCAGAGUAAGCGACAUGUAAUUGUUGGCCAUUGUUAUGAUUUAUGUAAAUUUCAUUUUAACAUAAUUUCAAAUUUACAGAAGAGUUGCAGGCAAUUCCCAUAUAUCAUUCGUAUAUUAUUCAUAUUUUGCCCAUUUAUUUUAUUCUCUCUGUGCAUUUGUGUGCAUAUAAUACACUCUACGUUCGACACAUACACACACACACUUAUUUUUUUCUGAAUCACCUGAGAGUAAGUUGAAGACACCAUGUCUUUUUAGCCUGAAAUAACUCAGUGUGCAUUGUUUACAAAACCACAAUACAGUUAUCAAAAACAGAAAAUUUAAUAUUGCUAUAAUUCUGUUACUAAUCCACAGUCCGUAUUCAAAUUUCAUCCGUUAUCUCAAUCACAUCUCCUUUAUGUGUGUUUUUUUUUUCCUGUUCCAGGGUCACCCACUGCAUUUAGUUGUCCUGUUUCUGUAGCCUGCUUUAAUCUGGGUAAAUUCUUCAGCCUCUCUGUGUUUCGUAAACUUGAAAUUUUUGAAGAGUUCAUGCCGGUUAUUUUGUGGAAUGGUGUUGCUCAAAUUCUGUUUUGCUCUUUCCUCAUUGUUAGUUUUAGGUUAUGCAUUUUGGCAAGAUCACCAUGAAGGUGACACUGUCUUUCUCAGAGUACCACGUGGGGAGGCUCCCAGUGUCCAAUUGCCCAUUUGUUAGAGGUGUUGCCUUUGGUCAUUCGGUUUAUGUGGUAUGCACCAAAUUCUCCCUGAGUACAACUGCUGUUUUCUCUUCACAAUUAAAAAGUAACCGUGAGAAAUACUUUUA